CUGCUGCCUCCCGUAGGAGUUUGGACCGUGUCUCAGUUCCAAUGUGGGGGACCUUCCUCUCAGAACCCCUACGCAUCGUCGGCUUGGUGGGCCGUUGCCCCACCAACUACCUAAUGCGCCGCAUGCCCAUCCGUGACCGGGGUCGCCCCCUUUGGCCGGCAGGGGAUGUCCCCUCCCGGCAUUACGUUGUAUUAGGCGGGAUUUCUCCCGGUUAUCCAUCUGUCACGGCCAGGUUGCCAUACGUGUUACUCACCCGUGCACCGGUCGCCGGCGG
rnacentral:rRNA from 1 species